GAAGCAUGAGAGAACUGUCGCCUUCUUCCUCAACAAUCGACCUCCAUCCGCCACCUAGACCACCAGAACCCACUACCAUUCGAACCCCCUCACCUCCCUCUUCAACCUCUUAUCAUCAACUGGCCAUGGAGUUGCUGAAAACAGCCUUAAUCACCAUCCAAAAUCGCACUAACAAUCACUGUUUUCACCAUAUUUCCACUGCUAUCGGCCAUCAUUUCGAUCGUGGACCAUCACCACUGCACUCCUUUCAACUAGGGGCAUCCAAUGCUAUCAUGGGUCACCUGCAAUUUUGUCGAGAAUUGAGUGUGCUUGUGAGAGUAGUCCAUGAGAUGUGAAAUAGAUUCGGUCCCAACAUAAUGAUGAAAUUUUAUUGAUUGAUAAGCAUUUAUUUUUUUGUUUAAUUCUUUAUUGGUUAAUAUUAACGGUUUACGAAUUCAAUUCUAAUACUUCGUCUCUCCCCUAUUCCUGCAUCUCACUUCUCUCAUCGUAAGAAAUUUCCCUUUUUUCUCUUCAAAUUUCUGCUCCACUAUACAUAUAUACACAUACGUAUAUAUAGAUAGAUAUAGAGUUGUGGAAUUGGCAAUGGGAUUUUGGAAGAAAUAUGUGUCUCUUUGUUCUUUGCUGCUGUUAAUGCUCUUCAUUAACGUCUUAGCCAGAGACCAGAAAGAUGAAUGUUGUGGAAUUGCUGCUGUUAUUGGGAUUUUCUGAAUUUUGUUUGUGCAAUGCAUUCUCACAGCUUGGAAUUUGUUGUUCUUAACCGAGAGUGAGUGUAUGCACUUUAUGCAUUUGUUUAGGAUUUGGCUGAAUUCUUGUUUAUAAUUUGUUUAAGGUUUGAUGUCAAUAAAUUCUUGUUUAGGGUUUGGCUAUUAAUUUUUUUGCCUGUCCUCUAAAUGUCACUGAAGUCACUAAAAAGUUUGGAGAUGUGUCUAUUACAAGGAUUUUUGCCUGUCUUCUAAAUUAAUUUUUUUCCUCUUUGAAAUAUUAGUUGUUGUACAUCAACUGAAGUUGCAAUANAUUUUCAACCACGCAUUUUCCCAACAAAAUAUUUUUCACGUAAACUAAAAACUUUUUUCUUUUCUUCACCACAAAAUCACAAUCACCAAAAAAUUAUUGUUCAAAACCUUAUUCUUAACAAAAAGGGCUAUCAAACAGGGGCAAAAUAGCAUGAAAUGGAGCAAAAAACAUGCCUAAAUAUAUUGGUCAUUCAUGUCUUCUACAAUAGAUUGACAUUGCUCCUGUACAUUCUAUGUGUGAGAGACAAAAAACCCAGAGCUGUGAGAUCUCUAUCGUAAAUUUCUUGAAUAUCCACACAAAGCAAACGCUUAGUGAAUAUCUGCUCCGACGAGUGGGCUCAAAAAUAAUAUUACAAAGCUUUCAUAUGUUCUCCAUUACUUGUAGUGUUUAUAUUGAGAUAAACCACUGAAAAUGUGUGUUUCUAUGUAUGUGUUUUGUCUUAUGUUUCAUUCUUCAUUGCCUUUUAGGUAUGGGAUUAUCCAUAGUAAAUCCUCGCUUGUCAUUCCGUUUGUUAUUACUCUUGCGAGAUAGAUUUCUCAAUUAGCAAUGACAUCAAGAGAUCAAUAAGAGCAAAAAGAGGUGCCUAAUUCAAAUUUUAGACUGCAAGAAAUUAUCAAUAGAAACUUGCCUGCAUGCUGCACAAAAUGAGAUGCUUUGAGACUCUAUUUUGACAACAUGUGUGUAAAAUAGAAAUUCCAUUUUUCAUUAAAAUUGAAACUGAAAAAUAAUAGGUGUGAAAGAUUGUACUAGGUCCCCCUAGAUUAGAUUUUGGGCUUUAGACGGCCGCUUCUUGAGUCUCCACUCAAGUCCCCGCUGAUGGUUGUCAAAAUUGUCUAAGAGACAAGAUAAUUAUCAUGGAAAACAAUAGAUUCAAAAUUAUAUUAGUUAUAUUAGAGACUAAUUAUAAAGACACAUGGGAAAUUAACUUAAAUUUCUUUCAAAGCAAUAUUAAUUUUUUAGUCUCUUUUUAUAUUUUUUUCCUUUGUAAUCGAAAUUGCUUUUGUUUACCAACAAUCUUUGCGCAUGAAAUGUUAUAUUUAUGGUGGUUGGGAUAUUUAAAUUUACUAAAACAUUGAAUCAAAGUUGGCCAUUAAUUUUAAUCAUACAUUUCAUGAUAUUCAUAAAUUUUAUCCUUUUCAAUCAUAUAUUUCAUCAUUUUUUAUCAAAAUUUGUUAAAUUUUUUUUUAUUUUAUCAAAAGCUUUGUCAAGCAGCUCCUUAAUAUAAUUCUUAAUUCAUAGCGUACAAAUACUCCAAAUUCAUAAAUAAGAUUCGUUUAGUGACUUUUCAUGAUAGGAAAUAAGUUGAGGUAUAAUCUGCAAUAGCCAUAGGCAUAAUGCUAUAAUAUCCAGAGGUGGCAUUUAUAUAUUUAAUCACUUUCCGUUUUGAUGAAAAUCAGAUUUUUUUCUAGAUUUUGAUUGAACUUGGUGGAACGUGUGAUUGAAAAGUGGAAGAUCUCAAGAAAUGUAUGAUAAAAAUUAAUUGUGAACUUUAACUUAAAUUUUAAUAUAUCUUUUUGGUCAUCUCAAACAAGAUCUUAAUAUUCUAUCUGUUACAUGUCAAUAUAAAGUCUCCAUUUCAAAAUGAUUCAAGGCUUCCAUUUUAACCCUGCAAUCGAAUACUGCAAAAUCGGAACAAUAUAGGGCAGAUUAUUAUGCCCUUUUAAGAAGAUGACACAAACAAAUUUAGAAACUGUCGAAAUUUACAUAGAAAUCAACCAAGCUAUAUACAGGAAUUCAAUAUUCGAAAUUGAAGAUGUCAUCAGUAUUUUGCUCGUGUGUAUAGAUUUUUAAAUCACUUUUAUUCACACAUUCAAUUGAACUCUUAUGCAGUACCCAAGUAUCCAUCACUCAUUUAUAUAUAUUUAUGAACAAAUAGUUUAUAAACGUACUUUCCAACAUGAUGCACCUGCACUUUUAUCAUAAUAAUUAACUUCCUAGUUAAAGCAGGAUCUUUUACCUACUUUUAAAAUCAAAUAAAAUAAAUCUAAAUUAUUGCACUGUAGAAAUGAAUUACGAUGCCUAGAAAGAUAUGAGAACGUGUAGGGGAGAUCCAGCACCUGGCUUGUUUUUCAACAACACAAAUGGCUGCCAAAUCUCAAAUGGCCUUAAUUCUGGGAUUACAAAUCAAAAGAUUUGUGGCAAAAUAUACAUCAUACACAUCUGCGCAUUAACCCAAUGCCGAUAUGUAAAAUUUGUAAUCUGAUAACUGUUAAGAAAUAUAGGAUUAUUUAUUAUCUAUUAAGGGUAGAAUAGUCCUUUUUAGUUUCCUUUGUUUAACCUAUAUAUAUUCUCUUUGUAUUGAAGUUAAACUAUCUUUUAGCAUUUAAUUAAUUACGUAGUAUCAAUGAAACCCUAGUCUCCUCCUUUUUCUUCUUUAUUUUUUUUGGAUUGUUUAACAUGGUAUCAGAGCCAGAUUUCAUGGGAUAAAACUUAAUCUCAAACACAGCUUUCACGGAUCUAACUACAGUUCAUUGGGCCGCUGUUCUUCGCAUUUUGUGAUAACUUCGGGGUACAGUCUUUCAGAGUCUGUUACUUCCAUCCACCUCCUCCUUGGAGCUGCAUGCAUACUCUGAUGCUGAUCAUGGCAGUGAUCCCACAGAUCGCAAGUCUGUUACUGGUUUCUGUAUCUUUUUGGGUGAUUCUCUUAUUUCUUAGAAAAACAAGAAACAAUUUAUUGUUUCUCAAUCUUCCACUGAAGCAGAAUAUCGUGCUAUGGCAUCUACUACUAAAGAGAUUGUUUGGUUACAUUGGUUACUUGCAGAUAUGAAAGUUUUUCUUUCUCAUCCCACUCCUAUGUAUUGCGACAACCAAAGUUCUAUUCAGAUUGCUCACAACUCGAUUUUUCAUGAACGAACUAAGAACAUUGAGAUUGAUUGUCAUCAUCUCAAGCAUGGCACAAUUACUUUGCCCUUUGUUUCUUCUUCUUUGCAACUUGCAGAUUUUUUUACCAAGUCUCAUUCUAUUUCUCGUUUUCGUUUUCUAGUUGCCAAAUUCUCAAUACUUGUAGCUGCCGCAUCGUGAGUUUGAGUAGAGAUGUUAAGAAAUAUAGGAUUAUUUAUUAUCUAUUAAGGGUAGAAUAAUCCUUUUUAGUUUCCUUUGUUUAGCCUAUAUAUAUUCUCUUUGUAUUUAGGUUAAACUAUCUUUUAGCAUUCAAUUAAUUACGUAGUAUCAAUGAAACCCCAGCCUCCUCCUUUUUCUUCUUUAUUUUCUUUGGAUUGUUUAACAAUAACUACCAACCGUGGUUACAUUCUCAUGUCAUGAUAAUUUAUCAUUCACAUUAUAAUAUAAAUCCGUUCCCUCUUGUGAAAAUUUCCUUUUGACUUCCUCCACAAAAUUGUGAUAACUAAUAUUAUAGAAGAUAAUUAAUAAAAAUAUCUUAGCUUUUACAUGUGUAGUGUGUGUUGACAUUUUCCCUAAAACUCCGUACGUUGACUGAAAACGAGUAUUACUAUUUAUUUCAUAGCAGAGACUCGCGCAAACUAGUAUAUCAAUACCACUGUGCAUUGCAAUUUUCUGUCUGCUCUAAUCUCUGUGUCUCCUUUCUUCAUUGUCUUCCUUAAAGAUGCCUGAUAUUUUGUAUAUUUUACCAUUUGUUUUCACCUCGACUAUGAUGUUUUUGUUGAUUCAAUAUCUGCUUGAAAAAGAGGCAGAAAAGAUAUGCAGAAUCGGAACAAAAUGAGCUGCCAGUCGUAAACUGUCAACCGUUAAUCACUAAGAGCGUUGAAUUAAACUAUAGAGUGCAAAGGAGUAUUUGAAGAUUAUAUAAAAUAGAAUCUAAUUACAUAUGGCAGUUUAGGUGCAUUUACCCAAGUACAGUUGAAAGGCUUAGUUUGUUUUGAAAUGUCAAUCAUACGGAUAAAACAAGAAAUCAAUUUUGCUCCUCUGUUGUUACAUUAUCUCAUUUUUUACUUCCAAUAUAACUAAACUGUAUACCAAAAAGAAACAUUAAGUUGAAGCAUAACAGAGAAAUCAUCUACAACAGAUAUAAUAUGAAAUGAAUAUACAUUUAUCAGCCAAUAAAAUAAAGCAAAUUAGUGGGGGGAAGACUUUAUUCUUUGUGUUUAAUAAACAUACCGAUAUGGCAAUGUAUUGCGGUAACUAAUAUUUUUAGUUGGCUCUAUCUUAUCAAGAAAUUAAUCUAUGUGAAUACAAACUUAAUUUAACUUUGGUAACAUAACAAAAUUCCCUUUGUUUUUUCAAUGGAGGUUCUUCGCUGACGUUACACUAAAACAGAAGCAAGAAACCAUGAAAGGAGAGUGACCGAUUACUCUGAUUUUAAAUUAGAUAGGAAUCUAGAAUUGUUGAUGUCUCUACUUAAUUCCUCAAAAAAUGCAAGACUUAGAGUUAACUACGUUCUAGGACACAUCAGUAGGAAAAGUUUAUCCAAGACCCACAUCUCUAUACUUCAAUUUCAUUCCAAUUUUAAUAGCAUUCCAUUCACGAUUUCAAUCGCCUACAACUCAAUAAUGAGAAAAUAUCAAAUAUUUUAUCCAAUUCCUUCGUCAAAAGCUGCUCUCUUAGCUUCCAGAACUGAGUGUAACUCAUAAUUUCAUAUUUGAAUACAAGCCCCAGUUUAUUUUUACCCCUUACUGCAUUUCUGUGAAUGUUAAAGGUUUAUGUGUCAGAAGUAUGGUAAGAAUUUAAAAUAAAAAGGGUAAAAUAAAUAAAUUAUCAAUAGUAAAAAGCUUUAAAUGAUUCCAUAACAAUGAUUCAAUUUUCACAUUCCAAAUAAACAGUAGAGAUUAAAGAUGAAAAUAACAAAAAACUCAAUUGAAGUUUGUAAACCCUAAACAGAGUGAUAACAUUAUGCAUCACUGGUGAAUGACUUAUCACCAGAAAUCCAAUGAAACAUACUAACCCUUAUUAAGAAGCACAUUCCAUCCAUGAUAAGCAUCGACUUUUUCUAAUGCUUUCUUAUGCCAUGUAUGUUGAAGCAGCCAAGGUAUGUGAUAUUUUGCAUCCCUAAGAACAAAAUAAACUAAAUAAGUUUGUAACUUAUAUAUUUGAUAAAGUUUAAAUGAACCAAAUCAUAAAUAGGUAGAAGUAUAAUACUAUAGACUUCACUUUUAGUUUUUUUUAUGAUUAAUACUUUCAUUGUACUUAAAAUUACAAUCUGUAAAAUGACAAAGCAAUAAAGAAUGAUUAUAAAAUGAAGAAUCUUAAUGCAAAAUGCAUCAACAAAUUGAAUAAAUGCAACAAUGAAAAAUUGAAUACAAUCAUUUGUCGAUAAUAAAUUACUGCAUCUAUAUAUUUUAGGCACCUUCGAAAUAGAAUAUCUACAGCUCAGAGUGAACGGUGUCUUUAGGAUAAUUGUUUGUGAGGAAGCCUCUCCUCUCUUCUUGUAAUACCACAUGUAUACCUGUCACAUAUCACAAGGUCAACAACAAUGAAACCCUUCUCCCAAGCAGGUUUUGGCAAUUUGAUUGACAACUUGGCAGCACGUAGUGUCUAGAGAAAGUCCAAACACUGCUUUAAAAAUGUUCACUGUGCAAGUUUCGAGGCCUUUUAGAGAUUCCAAGCAGGGUAAGAGCCCUUCCAUUUUUUGUACUGCAUCUGUUAGUGCACCAACGACAAAAAGUUGUGGAUGUGGUGCAUCCGCAACAUAACUUGACCUCGACACAACAGACAUUCCCAUGACCAUAAACACCACCAAGACAACUUUAAAUGCCAUAAUAUUUAUGAAAAUUUUAAUUUUUAAGAAUGUGUAUAAACGGAAGUGUGGGGAAAUGCUUCCAAACAUGGGCUACUUAUAUAUGAGAUUUAUAAUUAUUAAACGUGUUUAGUCUCUAUUUUAAUCCUCUAACGUUUUCUUGAAUGUUCAUUUAUUUGUAGUAUUAACUAAAGAUAUUCAAUAGCCAUUAAUUGUUCUUUAUUUUCAGUUGAGGUUUAAAAUUAUCGUUUCAAAAUAUAUUUACUCCUGUGCAAGUCAUGAGUUACAUUCAUUUCCAAUUUCUCAAUGAAUGACAAUAACACAAGUCUUGUGGACGCAUAAUCAAUUUAUGUGUUGAGAGAACAUAAUGGAGAUUGAAGAGCUUCAGAAAUUAAAUUCUACGCAUGCUGUCUUUUAUGAUCAUUGUUGGAAUGCGAGUGCGACUACAUAUGUGAAUUGAACAUGCGAUGGAUAUAUGUUUCAAGUUUUAGGCUUCUUGUGGAAGACACUAUCUUCAGGCUCGGACUUGCGCUUCAUAUUCAAGAAGUGCUCAACCUGUAAUUGCACCACUCAAACUAUGGUAUAGGACAUAUUUUAUAAGGCAUAGGAUAGUUUUGGGGUAAAUGACACCUUAUGUAUUUAGGCCUAUCGUACGUUGUAGGUAAAUAAAUAAUGACAUUUUAAGUUAUGUUAAAUAAUAGUAAUUGUUACGUAUGCAAUGACAAAUAUUCUUUUGUAGUUAUUGUAUUUUUAUUUUUAUUUUUGUUAUUUUCUCUUGUGCAUUAUUUAUUUUAUUUAUUAUUAAAAAAAUUAAUGAGUUACAGCAACCCAACUAUGUGGUUGCUGAAACUAUAACUGAACCAUUUGUUAAAAAAAAAAAAUAUUUAACCAUUCAUCUACCAACGAUUAUUUCUUGAUAGGUACUAUUUUUACGUAACGUUCUUCAUAGGCCAAUAUUUGGUCGCUUAUAGUAUAUUUCACCAACCAAAUAUUGGUUCUUGAAAUAUGGCAAUUGUUUUGAACAACCAAAGUUUGGUCACAAAAGGGUGCAUAUCAAUCAAUUUUUUUUCUUCCUAUUAUCAACUGCCAAAUGGAGACCAUUAUUGACCAAACAUUGGUAGCUAAAUGUUAUAUAUCCUAGUGACACUUGUGUGGUCGCUGACACUUCCACGGUGAAUUAGCAACCAUACAAUUUUGGUUGCUGAUGAUCUUUAGAGACCAAUAUUUUUGGUCUCUGGAAAGCUUUUUUGAUAGUGAAUUUGAUGCCGAUGUGCUAAGAGUUCUCUCUUUUGAGUUCCCCCAAGCAAUCGGGAAAUGUCCAUAUUGCCACUUUUUAGUUGGUAAAUAAUCAAUCUUCAUGGUAAUGAUACUAUAUUCGUGGUUUUUACGUUGGAUCCGAAUAGUUGAAUAGUACACUAGUUUUGGAUGUACUUGUAGAUAUUUUUUCCAGAAGUACUGGGAUAUUAAUUAGGAGAACGUGACCAAGACAAAUAGUAUUUUUUAUGAUAUGAUGGAUUCCGCCAAGGCUCAAACUUUUAACGUUAAUUGAUUCCUGAAGUACAGAAAUCAAGUUCCCCAGUUUCGACUGAUCAUGCUAAGUUACUUCUGUUUCAAGGUUAUUACUAAGCCUGGGCUAGCCAGCUUCUCUCGUCACGACUUGCAUUGUUACACCAAAUCAAUUUGGUUUUCCCAGUAUGAGACAUAUUAAUUAGGACUGUAUAUCAAUUUAUCUUUUGGGCCUUGGGUAGCUCUAAAUCUAGAGAUUGGAAAGGACAAUUUAUUUUUGGCUUCACUCAUUGUCUUGGGGUAGCUACUAAUUCCAUGGCAGAAGCAAUGGCUUUGAAACUGGGUUCGUAUUAUUGCUAUCUUUUGGGGGUUUCAAGGUAUGGGUUGAAAAUGAUUCCCAAGUGGUUUCCCAAUGGUUUAACGGGCUGGAUAUUAUUCCUUGGUCUCUUCAAUAGGUUUGAAAUGACAUUGUUGAUCUGGCAGAUUUCAUUGAUUUAAAAGUAGAGAGGAUAAUUCGGUUGUUGACUCGUUGGCUAAGAUGGGUACAGCUGAACGCUCUCAAUUUUAUACUUAUAUUAGAAACUUCACUAAGACUACAAUAGGUCGUUUUGUUUUAGAUUCUAGUGUUUGUCCUUCCUUUAGAUUUCGUGGAUGGUAUUGUUUUGAGUUUUAUUACAUCAACUACUUUUAAUCACGGUUUUCCUCCAUCAUAAGUGAGAGCUUAUUAAUAGAGUUAAGGAUGCGCCAUCCUCUUAAAAAAUAAAAAUAAAUAAAAAUAAUAAUAAUAAAUUUAGGGAGUUCAACACUCCAAUCACCAUUAGGGAUUUAUAGAUUGACAUGGCAUUGUGCAAGCAUGGUACAAGUGUUAAUCUAAUGCUUCUUUUCGUCUUCGACCUUUCAGGAUAUGGUGAAACAACACCAUCAAAUAUUACUCAUUAGCUGGCAAACCGAUUAACGCCUAUGGGGUGGUGGAAGAUCUAGUUACGAGUGUGGAAAAUUUUUUAUUUUCCAUUAACUUUGUAAUUUUUGACCUGCCCAAAGAUUCAAAGAAGCCUAUUAUUUUGGACAAACCUUUUUUUAGCUUCUAAAGCUCUUAUUGAUGUGUCACGGGAUUUAUUAACAUUGAUUGUACAAGAAAAGAAAGAGUCCUUUUGUAUUGCUUGAAAUUUGAGACAUGACCACAUCCAUAUGGACGUGCUAUCAAGUGAAGACCUUAAAGAAAUUCAAGAAAAGCUUUUUCAAGAGGUUUUGAGAGUUAAUCCAACGCUCAAAGUGAAAAAUAAACGAGUUGCUGUUCAUAGAAAUCUUACAAGUGUACAGGUUUAUUGCACAAAUAAUAAUCGUGAUGAGAGAAAUAUCGUUCCACGGGGAAUAAGGCUUAAUUCUAGAAUAGUUGAUAUAUUCAAAUUCAUAAUUGUAACAAAUGAUAGUUGGUUUGUAUCUAACUACAUUUUGUAACUACAAAAGCAAUAAAAAUUGGUUUAAAAUCAAUUGUGGAUGAACUUAUUGGAUUUCCAACUCCACUAAUCAACUCUUAGUUCCAAUUCUCAUCUAGUGAUAAAUAACUCAAUUCAUGCAAUUGUGAUAUCAAUAAUUCCACAUUUAUUUACUAUUCUUUUCAAGAUACAACAAAUCUUUGAUCACCACGAAAUGAUCAUAUUUCUUGUCCGAAUUCAUAUGACAAACAUGCAUUGACGUUAAGAAUCAUCAUACAUGAUCUCACAUGCCAUAAAUAUUAUUUCUAAUAUUUAUUGCCCGUGUUUUAGCUACCGUGAAUUUUUCAACACUACGAAUAAAUCACUUAUAGUCCUAAUGGUGCGCAAACAUUAAAACAAUAUAAUUGUACAUGUUAUGGAAUCAAAAUGCAAGAAUUAAGUUAAAAACACAAAGUUUCAAAUUAAAAACUAAGAAUCAAAGAGUUUUGUCGCCCAUCCAAUACAAAGAAGAUUAGCCUAGCAUAUUAAUGUAAGAAUUAAAAAUAAAAAGAAAGACGUCACCCGAAUCAUUAAACAAUGAAGAAAAUUUGGAUUAAAGCCUUAAAAUCUGGAUCCAAGGAUGAAUUCUUCAUUAUUCGACGCAUAUUCUCUCUAUUUUCCCUCAAAAUUUGGCCCUUUUUGUUCUGGACACUUUCUCUUAUUUAUAUGAUGCUGAGAGAUUGCUUACCAAAAUAAAAUAAGGACAGAGUUUUUCUCUCAUUUUACACCAAGGCGUGUCUAUGUUGUUUUAAAGUACAAUUUCAGUGUUGUCCACUACGCAUGUCCAUAACAAACAUGACAUCAAUGGAUAAUAGUUUGUACUUAUAUUAAUGUUGACGCAUAAAAAUUCAACCCAAAUCGAACGGCCCAAAGAAUGAAGCCCAAUUGGAGGAUCCCCAAAGCAGAUAGCCCAGAGAACGAAGCCCAAUCAAACAAUUCAAGACGAAGGCCACAAUAGGGAGGCCCAAGAACGCGGUAACACGAUCACCCAAGUUUGCAAGUCGCCCAGAAUCUGAGCGAAUGGAAUGCCAUGCAGUCGCCCAGAGCUGUUACUCUAUUCUCGCCCAAACCUUUGAGUCGCCCAAUGUCUUAGCAAACCUGAAGUGUUGUGGUUAUCAAGAAGUGCAGUUAUCAAAGUAGUUAUUAAGCAGUCCCAUCACGUUCCACGAUUCAAGGAAUUCAAUUGAAGACGGUUGAACGACAAAGAGUAAUGGCAGCAGUUAACAAAGGCAGUUCCACAUAAAGUUGGCCAUUACGAUGAAAGUGGGCAGUUAUAGAACGAUCAAGCAGAUUUUAGGCGGUUGAUCACAAAGAGAUCAUCCAAGGAGUAUAAAAGGAAGAAAAGACAUAGAGCAAAAGGACCGAAUCAAAAACUCUUGAACAAAGAACAUGUAAUUUUAAAUUUCUUAGCUUAGAUUUAAACACUUCUUUCAGUAACUCGUGUGCUGCGCCCCUUGGAGGCAUUCUAUUUUUAAUUUCUAAUUGUAAAGUCAUCGCUAAUAAAAGAACACCCCUUUUUGGGACUUUGUCUCAAGAGGUUUGUCUCUUACACAAUCGUUUGAUCUCUUUUUAAUUGUUAGCGACGAACCCGCGUGAAACGAUUUGGCACACCCGGUGGGACAGUGGUGUUUGGUGUUGAAGAUACAAAAGGUGAAACAAUAUGCCUCAAAGAUCCAAUAAGGAAGCAGCAAGUCAGGGAGGAAUCCAGUCUGUGAUCGAGCGAUAUGAGGAGCAGCAUGCCUUUCCACGAACAGAUGGACAGAAUCAGAGCAGUAACAAUCGUUACGAACCAAUGACAGAGUUGAGUCCUCGAACCAUGCGUGCAUUACUUGGAGAACUCACACAAGACAUCGUUGAACAGGUAAAUCUUCGAAGUAUUCAUAAUAUGGAAAGAUUUACCCAAAAUGGGAAUGCACAUUAUGACAACAUGGCCAAACAACUAAACACUUUGAACGAAAUAAUGAAUAAGUUAGUAGGCCAAAUAUGUCAACUGGUUAUACCUCUUGCAAAUCACUUUCAAACUAGGAAAAUUGUGGGACAUAAUCCCUCAGUCCUAGAUCCGAAUCAAGGGGUAGAACCACUUUCUGGUCCCUCUGCUUCAAACCAAGGGGGUACUACAAUGCCAAAUCAGAACAAUGGUAGUGGUACGCCUAACUUGGGGGGUAAUCCAAAUAUAAGAGAUAAUGUCCUAAACAAUGGACAGAAUACCCCACGUGUUAAUGAGGGAAUAGAUGUUCAGGCUAAUGGUAAUGGCCCUAAUCAUGGUAACUUUGUUGCCAAUCAAGGACCAAACAUCAGGCCUCAUGCAAAUCAACCGGUUAACCAACCUGUAGGAAUUCCAUAUGACCCCAACGUCAUGUUGAGGAAUCAGAUUAUGGAAAUCGUACAGGAUCAGAUGGCUUUUGGGGUGCGUCCCGUCAUUAGGCCGACUUACACAAAGCCAUANCGAACUUCCUCAUCAUCCUAGAUGGAAUGGUGUUUAUAGCUGCUCCAUUGUCGACAAGCACUUUUGCCACUGGGACGCCGUUAACUAGAGCUUUAACAUAUAAUGGCCUCAAGUGUUUAGUCAAUUUCAUGGCUGACCGUUUAAAAAUAACCUUUUCGGCAGCCUCUAUUUCUACUUCUUGCUUGUUUUCUGUCGAAUUAUCCCCCUGUGAUAAGUCGACGUGCAGUAUAUCACGCUGAUCCUCUGUCUCCUGAACUUCCUUCCUACUUCUUUCUAAUGCUUCUUCAUCAGUUACCCAACCUGUGGGAGGGGACAUUAUUCUUAGAGGCGACCCAUAUUUUUCAGAGCGAGGCACUCUCUUCUUCCUUUUGGGUGUCCCGUAUAGUACGUAGAAAUUGAAAGGACGCCCAGAUGGUUCCCCCAACAAGUCUACUUCGCGAACUCCCUCUUGAUGUAGUUGCUUAAACAGAGUAUUGCGCAAUACUCCUCUCUUUCUUCUUUCUGCUUCUAGGUCGAUUUCUUCUUCAAUGUCUAUCAUCCCAUCGUCCUCCUCGUCGUUGUAGGCCUCUCUAGAAGUCCGACCUUCUUCCCAUACCAACACGCAAGCUUCUCCUUCAUUGUCUUCCCUCUCUUCUUCUUUUUCUUUAUUCUUGAAUUCAUUGGCCAGUAGGUAAUUAUUUGCCACUACAGGAGGCAAUGUACCGAAUUGGAUAGCAAGGGGCUGAUCUGGAUCUUCUUCAUCCCUUCUGUCUCGUUCAAACCUUGAUCUCCCAGAAGAAGUUUCUGGCAGUUCCUUCAUUGAUUCAUCUGUACCGGUCUCUUCACUAUUUUUGAGGACAUUUUGAUUUGCUACCUUGAGUAGUUUAGGCGCUUUAGGAUGUGGCAUUCCUUGUUGCUGCCUCAUCAUCCGUCCGUAGUUUCGUUGGAAACGCCUUUGUUGGGUCCUAGUCAUCUCAUCGAAGGGUAUUGCCCUCCCUGCAUUGUACUGGAAUGAAUGCCAUACAUUUGGCCGGCGAGGUUGCGGCCUGAAUGUUCUUCCAUUAUCUGCUGACCUAAACUGCCUCUCAAAAGGCGGUCCUCUAUAGAAUGAUGUACCUCGCCCUCUACCAGGCUUAAUGUUUGGGAAGAAGGUAGGGCGAUGAAGAUGCUGCCAUGUCCCUGGUUUCUCCGUGUUUCCAUUCACUUCUCUUUUACACCUUGCACACAGGAGGUCUUCGUCCUUUUUUGGUUCUUUCCCCUUGAUUAGUUCAAAGACGCUGGGAUGUGGUUUAGGAUCUUCUUCUCCAUCAUCUACGACCAACUUGAAUUUUGGCAACUUGUUUUUAAAUCCAGAUGUCACCAUGUUUACUCCAAGUGGCUGUGGGAAAUAAUUUUCGUCCACUGCCAUCUUUUUCUUAUCAUCGAACAUAAUUCGUCCUGAUUCAAUGGCAUCCUGCAAUACAUGACGAAAAACCAAGCAAUUGUUAGUCAAAUGUGACCAUGCAUUAUGCCACUUACAAUAUUUUUUACUCUUAAUUUGUUCAGGGUUUGGCAAUUUGUGCUUAUCGCUCAACUUUAUCUGCUUAUCCCUAUAUAAUUUAUCGAAUAUAAGGUCAGCUUUGGUCACGUCGAAUGAGAACGUUCUAGCCUUUAUGUUUCCAUCUUUUAUGGGCUCAUCUUUGCCCGAUGGUCUAGGCUUGGCCAUUAUGGGACAAGUAUAUGUAUCCCCUUUUACCAAUUCGGUCAAACACAUUUCUGCCUGAUUGUAUGACUCGUCGUCGAUGGUAUGAACGUCAAAAUUUGGAUCUUUGUAAUAAGUCCCUUUACUAGAAUUUUUCAUUUGUUCUUCCUCUCUUUUCAGUCGCUCAUACCUAAUCACAUUCACACUCAACUGGAAAAGGUCAGGAAAUUCCUUGUCCUGGAACUUCUUCUUUAAAUCAAAGCUCAAGCAGCCUUGAGCGAUUUUGACAAAUUUUUUUUCGGGCAGAGGUACAAAACACUUGCUUCUUGCUGUCUUUAACCUUUGGAGAAAACUUUCUGCCCAUUUGUUUGGCAUUUGAUGUAGAUUCGCCAAAUCAGCCAAAGUAACUUCAGACUCAGUUUUAUAAAACUGAGCGUGAAACAACUGUUCCAAUUGUUGCCAUGUUUGAACAGAGUUCGCUGGCAAGUUGAUGAACCAGGAGAAAGCUACUCCUGUUAACGAAUUCGGGAAAAGCCUCAUUUUAUGGUAAUCGGUUACAUCACCACUUUGCAAUGUGAAUCGCCCUAUGUGUUCUAGAGUAGAAACCUCUUCUAAACCGGUAAACAGUGAGAAUUCUGGCACUUUGUACCCUCUAGGCCAUGGAUAUGCUUGGUCUACCCAAUCAGGAUAUGGCUUUGUGUACGUCGGCCUAAUGACGGGACGCACCCCAAAAGCCAUCUGAUCCUGUACGAUUUCCAUAAUCUGGUUCCUCAACAUGACGUUGGGGUUAUAUGGAAUUCCUAUAGGUUGGUUAACCGGUUGAUUUGCAUGAGACCUGAUGUUUGAUCCUUGAUUGGCAACAAAAUUACCAUGAUUAGGGCCAUUACUAUUAGCCUGAACAUCUAUUCCCUCACUAACACGUGGAAUAUUCUAUCCAUUGUUUAGAACAUUAUCUCUCACGUUUGGAUUACCCCCCAAGUUAGGUAUACCACUACCAUUAUUUUGAUUUGGCACCGUAGUACCCCCUUGGUUUGAAGUAGAGGGACCAGAAAGCGGUUCUAUCCCUUGACUCGGAUUUAGGACCGAGGGAUUAUGUCCCACAAUUGUCCUAAUUUGAAAGUGAUUUGUAAGAGGUAUAGCCGGUUGACAUAUUUGGCCUAGUAACUUAUUCAUUGUUUCGUUCAACGUCUUUAGUUGUUUGGCCAUGCUGUCAUAGUGUACAUUCCCAUUUUGCGUAAAUCUUUCCAUAUUAUGAAUACUUCGAAGAUUUACCUGUUCAACGACGUCUUGCGUGAGUUCUCCAAGUAAUGCACGCAUGGUUCGAGGACUCAACUCCGUCAUUGGUUCGUAACGACUGUUAUUACUCUGAUUCUGUCCAUCUGUUCGUAGAGAAGUAUGCUGCUCCUCAUAUCGCUAGAUCACAGACUGGAUUCCUCCCUAACUUGCUGCUUCCUUAUCGGAUCUCUGAGGCAUAUUGUUUCACCUUUUGUACUUUCAACACCUAACACCACUGUCCCACUAGGCAUGCCAAAUUGUUUCGCGCGGGUUAGUCGCUAACAAUUAAAAAGGAUCAGACGAUUGUGUAAGGGACAAACCUCUUGAGACAAAGUCCCAAAAAGGGGUGUUCUUUUAUUGGCGAUGACUUUACAAUUAGAAAUGAAAAACAACGUGCCUCCAAGGGACGCAAGCACACGAGUUACUGAAAGAAAAGUGUUUAAGUCUAAAAACUAAGGAAAUGAAAAUUACAUGUUUUUUGUUCGAGAGUUUUGGAUUCGGUUCCUUGCUUCUAUGUCCUUUCUCCCUUUUAUACUUCAUGGACGAUCUCUUUGUGAUCAACCGCCCUAAAAAUUGUUUGAUCGUCCUAUAACUGCCCACUUUCUUCGUAAUGGCCAACUUGUCAUGAAAACUGCCUUUUUUAACUGUUGUCAUUACUCUUCAUCGUUCAACCGCUUUCGAUUGAGUUCCUUGAAUCGUGGAACGUGAUAGGGCUGCUUUAAUAAUUGCUUUGAUAACUGCACUUCUUGAUAACCACGACGCUUUAUGUUUGUUAAGACUUUGGGCGACUUGAAAGUUUGGGCGAGAAUAGAGUAACAGCCUUGGGCGACUGUAUGACACUUCAUUCGCUCAAAUUCUGGGCGACUUGCAAACUUGGGCGAUGGCGUUACUGCGUUCUUGGGCCUCCUUAUUUGGGCCUUCAUCUUGAUUUGUUCGAUUGGACUUCGUUCUUUGGGCUAUCUGAUUUGGGGAUCCUCCAAUUGGGCUUCACUCCUUGGACUGUUCGAUUUGGGCUGAAUUUUUAUGUGUCAACAAUCACCAUCCAAAAGCGCGCUAACAAUCACUGUUUUCACCAUAUUUCCACUGCUAUCGGCCAUCAUUUCGAUCGUGGACCAUCACCACUCCACUCCUUUCAACUAGGGGCAUCCAAUGCUAUCAUGGGUCACCUGCAAUUUUGUCGAGAAUUGAGUGUGCUUGCGAGAGUAGUCCAUGAGAUGUGAAAUAGAUUCGGUCCCAACAAAAUUGAUGAAAUUUUAUUGAUUGAUAAGCAUUUAUUUUUUUGUUUAAUUCUUUAUGGGUUAAUUUUAACGGUUUACGAAUUCACAUUCUAAUACUUCGUCUCUCCCCUAUUCCUGCAUCUCACUUCUCUCAUCGUAAGAAAUUUCCCUUUUUUCUCUUCAAAUUUCUGCUCCACUAUACAUAUAUACACAUACGUAUAUAUAGAUAGAUAUAGAGUUGUGGAAUUGGCAAUGGGAUUUUGGAAGAAAUAUGUGUCUCUUUGUUCUUUGCUGCUGUUAAUGCUCUUCAUUAACGUCUUAGCCAGAGACCAGAAAGAUGAAUGUUGUGGAAUUGCUGCUGUUAUUGGGAUUUUCUGAAUUUUGUUUGUGCAAUGCAUUCUCACAGCUUGGAAUUUGUUGUUCUUAACCGAGAGUGAGUGUAUGCACUUUAUGCAUUUGUUUAGGAUUUGGCUGAAUUCUUGUUUAUAAUUUGUUUAAGGUUUGAUGUCAAUAAAUUCUUGUUUAGGGUUUGGCUAUUAAUUUUUUUGCCUGUCCUCUAAAUGUCACUGAAGUCACUAAAAAGUUUGGAGAUGUGUCUAUUACAAGGAUUUUUGCCUGUCUUCUAAAUUAAUUUUUUUCCUCUUUGAAAUAUUAGUUGUUGUACAUCAACUGAAGUUGCAAUAAUUUUGGCUUAUAUACGUUUUCAGUUCUAAUUGGGUUUCUGAAUUCUGGGUAUGCAGUUGCCUAUUUAUGAGAUACCCUCCUUUCCAUAGAUAUUCGGAAUUAGGUUGCCAUCAUAUCCCAAUUACUAUGGACUGGAAUGUUGUGAGUUUGGAAUGAGAAUAUUCAUCAACCUUAUUCUUAGUUUCUUGUAGUUCUCUAGGUGCUCUUAUUGUAUUUAACAUAUAUGCAAGCAUCUUCUCUUGGUCUGAGCAUAGAUUUUACCUUACCUCUAUUGCAAUUGCUGCUCUAAAUGCCAUCAAAUCUAGCUGGAGUAACUGGCCCCCAGACUGGAAAGAAUCGGAUCCUUGUGGUUGGGAAGGGAUUAAUUGCACCGAUUCACGCGUGACCUCCAUGUAACUCUUGGAAAUUCCCCAUCCUAAUGAUUCCCUAGUUCAUUUAUUUUUCCUUGUUUUUGAAUCUGAUAGAAUUGCUUCAAUUGCAGAAUGUUGGUAGGCACGAGGGUGGAAGGUAGUGACUUCAGUGACGUUUGUUUAGGAUUUAGGAUUUGACUGAAUUCUUGUUUAUAGUUUGGAAUUUACUGUUUUGGUAGUAUCUAAGGCUUUUUAUUUUUGUUGUGCACCUAAAACUUUAGCAAUAGCUUUUGUAACUGAUUAUUUGGUUUUAUUCUAUGUUACUUAUGUUCCCUAUCUUAUUUGGACUUAUAGGCACAGCUCAGCUGGAGUGUUGGCAGGAGGCAAAACCAUGUGAAUUUUGUAAUAAAGCAAUAGAAGAAUCGUCUAGAAGGAAAUAAUUAGAAUUUUGCUUGUUUAGCGAGUUGGUUUAUUCUGCAUUUAUCUGUGUAAAUUAGUUAGGGUCUUAGGGAGAGAUUCUUUUUCUUCAUUUGCUGUUUAUAUUUCCA
rnacentral:lncRNA from 1 species